rnacentral:tRNA from 1 species
UCCGAGGUCGUCUAAUGGUAGGACGUUGCGCUCUGGACGCAAAAAUUGGGGUUCGAGUCCCUGCCUCGGAGCCA